GUGGGGAAUAUUGGACAAUGGGCGAAAGCCUGAUCCAGCCAUGCCGCGUGUGUGAAGAAGGCCUUUUGGUUGUAAAGCACUUUAAGCGAGGAGGAGGCUACCGAGAUUAAUACUCUUGGAUAGUGGACGUUACUCGCAGAAUAAGCACCGGCUAACUCUGUGCCAGCAGCCGCGGUAAUACAGAGGGUGCAAGCGUUAAUCGGAUUUACUGGGCGUAAAGCGCGCGUAGGUGGCCAAUUAAGUCAAAUGUGAAAUCCCCGAGCUUAACUUGGGAAUUGCAUUCGAUACUGGUUGGCUAGAGUAUGGGAGAGGAUGGUAGAAUUCCAGGUGUAGCGGUGAAAUGCGUAGAGAUCUGGAGGAAUACCGAUGGCGAAGGCAGCCAUCUGGCCUAAUACUGACACUGAGGUGCGAAAGCAUGGGGAGCAAACAGGAUUAGAAACCCCUGUAGUCC
rnacentral:rRNA from 1 species